rnacentral:rRNA from 1 species
ACGGCCAGAGAUGGUCGCCCCCUUGUGGUCGGUGUACAGGUGGUGCAUGGUUGUCGUCAGCUCGUGUCGUGAGAUGUUGGGUUAAGUCCCGCAACGAGCGCAACCCUCGUUCUAUGUUGCCAGCGCGUUAUGGCGGGGACUCUUAGGAGACUGCCGGGGUCAACUCGGAGGAAGGUGGGGAUGACGUCAAAUCAUCAUGCCCCUUAUGACCUGGGCUACACACGUGCUACAAUGGGUGGUACAACGAGCAGCGAGACCGCGAGGUCAAGCGAAUCUCUAAAAACCAUCCUCAGUUCGGAUUGCAGGCUGCAACUCGCCUGCAUGAAGCUGGAAUCGCUAGUAAUCGCGGAUCAGCACGCCGCGGUGAAUACGUUCCCGGGUCUUGUACACACCGA